AGAAAACGUCACAAACAAAUCAAUAUGGAAAAAUAGCUGCAGUCAAAGACAACUAAGCUAAACAGUUGUGAUCCCACAGCAGCAAACUGUGACGGACAACUAAGCUAAACAGUUGUAAUCCCACAGCAGCAAACUGUGACGGACAACUUAGUGACAAGUUAAUAUCAGCCACCUACACAGUAGUUCUGUUUAAAGGGUUAGGUGAGGGUGGGGUUAAGGCAGGGUGGAGGUGUGUUUUGAUUGGUACGUUUGGAAGGCCAGGUGGAGGUGUGUUUUGACUGGUACGUUCUUUUAUUUUGCUGCUGUGUGGCUCCUUGGAAUGAAUGUGCACAACAACAACAGUGGUGAGACAGCAGGAGGUAUGACAUCACGCAGCUGUUAUCCUGUUCAGUCCACAGAAGACAGAAAGAGAGGUAGACAGACAGGUCAAAGGACCAACAGGGCCAAAGAGAAGUGUUGCAUGCUGGGAGAGCAAAACCAAGGAUGGGGUGGGGGGGGGGGGGGAUACUGUAGGCACAUUGGAACCAAAAAUAGUGUGCAAGCACUGGGCAUAAGCAGGGUUAAGACAGCAGGAAGUCCUUGAGUGUGUGUGUGUGUGUCUGUCUGUCUUUGUAUGUGUGUGUGUGUGUGUCUUUGUAUGUGUGUGUGUGUGUGUGUGUGUCUUUGUAUGUGUGUGUGUGUGUGUUUGUGCCUUCAGCCACUGCAGCAGCAAUCUGAGGAGAGGUAACCUCUGCUGUCACCCUCCUACUUCUGUGUGUGUGUGUGUGUGUGUGUGAGAGAGAGACAUACUCUAUGUCUGCGUGAUUUUGAACGAAUGUGAAUUACAGUGACUGUUUUCUUUUUUUUUUGAAGAAAUUGUAGCUGGCAAAUGUGAUGUGAUUUUUUUUUUUUUUUUUUUAAGAACUGCCUCAAAUUGUGGCUGGUGAUUGGCAUUUCCAGAGAUGGAGCUGUCUGAUAUGAGCAGUGAAAUGCAUGCGUCCCCCCUGGAGAGCCUGUGUGUGUUGCGUCCCUAGUGCACUCUUGUGUUGUUGUGAACAAUAACGUUGUGUUUUUAGACUCCUACUGUAAGUGGUGGCCUUUUGCCUCUUGGGCUGGGAAGACCUACUCAAACCAUAGUGGGCAAUGUUCACAUACACUUCAAAUUACUAUUUUUGUUUACAAGAUAAAAAAAAAGACUCAUUAAAUAGUGCUUUAAAAUAAGAUAUUCAUAUCAUUUCAGCUUUAUGAUUGUAAAUGUAGAAACAAUAUUCCAUUUGUAAACAAUUAAAUAUAAUCAUGCA